rnacentral:rRNA from 1 species
UAGGGAAUCUUCGGCAAUGGGGGGAACCCUGACCGAGCAACGCCGCGUGAGUGAAGAAGGUUUUCGGAUCGUAAAGCUCUGUUGUUAAGGAAGAACGAGUGUGAGAAUGGAAAGUUCAUGCUGUGACGGUACUUAACCAGAAAGGGACGGCUAACUACGUGCCAGCAGCCGCGGUAAUACGUAGGUCCCGAGCGUUGUCCGGAUUUAUUGGGCGUAAAGCGAGCGCAGGCGGUUAGAAAAGUCUGAAGUGAAAGGCAGUGGCUCAACCAUUGUAGGCUUUGGAAACUGUUUAACUUGAGUGCAGAAGGGGAGAGUGGAAUUCCAUGUGUAGCGGUGAAAUGCGUAGAUAUAUGGAGGAACACCGGUGGCGAAGGCGACUUUCUGGUCUGUAACUGACGCUGAUGUGCGAAAGCGUGGGGAUCAAACAGG